rnacentral:rRNA from 2 species
UACCAGCACCCCGAGUGGUCGGGAUGAUUAUUUGGCCUAAAGCAUCCGUAGCCGGCGCAUCAAGUCUUCCGUUAAAUCCACCUGCUCAACAGAUGGGCUGCGGGAGAUACUGCUGCGCUAGGAGGCGGGAGAGGCGAGGGGUAUUCCAUGGGUAGGGGUAAAAUCCUCUGAUCCAUGGAGGACCACCAGUGGCGAAGGCGUCUCGCCAGAACGCGCUCGACGGUGAGGGAUGAAAGCUGGGGGAGCAAACCGG